UCCCUUCGGGGAGCGAGUAGAGUGGCGCACGGGUGAGUAACACGUAGGUAAUCUACCUUUGGAUGGGGAAUAACAACCGGAAGCGGGUGCUAAUACCGCAUAAUGCAGCGGCACCUAAUGGUGACAGUUGUUAAAGCGGGGGAUCGCAAGACCUCGCGUCUGAAGAGGAGCCUGCGGCAGAUUAGCUAGUUGGUAAGGUAAUGGCUUACCAAGGCUAUGAUCUGUAGCCGGCCUGAGAGGGCGGUCGGCCACACUGACACUGACAUACGGGUCAGACUCCUACGGGAGGCAGCAGUCGGGAAUUUUGGGCAAUGGGCGAAAGCCUGACCCAGCAACGCCGCGUGAAGGAUGAAAUCCUUCGGGAUGUAAACUUCGCAAGAACAGGAAGAAUAAGCCGGGGUUAAUACCACCGGUGAUGACGGUACUG
rnacentral:rRNA from 1 species